ACACAACGUCUUUAUACAAUAGUAAUAGUUAUGUUUUUGUAACAUAGAAUUAUAAUAUUUCAAAGUAGACAUGGGAAUGUGCAAAAUAGAAAUGGAGAAUUUAUUCUCCUCAGAAAAGCUCAGUUUACCUGUUUAAAGUGAAGGGCAUUUACAAUGAGCAACCUAUAAAGCUAAUGACAAAUUUGGAGCAUUCUACACUGUGUGGAGUAACAUAUUAGAUACUAGAGACAGUAUACUGAACAGUUUAUGUCUUAUAUUUAAAUGCUUACAUGUUUGUGCAAAUGGCUGUUAUGACCAUAUGUCUCAUUAUGUGGAUAUUAUAAAAAUAUUUUUGUUAACAGGUUCAAAGUAACUUUGAAACUAGAACUGGUAGCCUUGUUAUCAAAAUUGGUCUGAAAUUGUACUGUAUAUUUUAUUCCAUGUUGGAGAUACAAAUAAUCAAGUGAGUAUGCCAAUUUUCUUGGAUUUGCUCACCAGGAAAUUGCACUAGUUGAAUUUAUGCGUACUGAUAUUGAUAAGAUAAGAUGUUCUCUUUCCAUCUCUUAUAGAUUUGUUGAAUUACUCCACUUUCUAUUUUUAAAAUUUAUUUUUAUAUACAAAUACGGUUGACUUCAUGAUUUUCUGAGAAUGGACAAUAUAGUCUAAGUAUUUUUGCUUCCAUCCCUACCUCCAAGAGGAAAAUGGCUCAGACACAGUCUCUUUUUGCUUAUGGGACUGAGCAUUGCCACACUCAGAUUAGUAUCUGUUUUAGUGUACAUAGAAAUUACUUAGAUUAACCUCAGUCUUCCUGUAAGUUUUCAAAAUUAAAUUUUGAGUGUAUUACUUAAAAUUCAUAAGAAUUUGUGUUAUUUUUAUUACCAUGCAAAGCCUAGACUAAGAACUCUUCAUCUUGGUGUCACAGUGCCCAGUAUAGGGGUUGACAUACGGGAAGCCA
rnacentral:lncRNA from 10 species